rnacentral:rRNA from 1 species
GAUGAACGCUGGCGGCGUGCCUAAUACAUGCAAGUCGAGCGAACGGACGAGAAGCUUGCUUCUCUGAUGUUAGCGGCGGACGGGUGAGUAACACGUGGAUAACCUACCUAUAAGACUGGGAUAACUUCGGGAAACCGGAGCUAAUACCGGAUAAUAUUUUGAACCGCAUGGUUCAAAAGUGAAAGACGGUCUUGCUGUCACUUAUAGAUGGACCCGCGCUGCAUUAGCUAAUUGGUAAGGUAACGGCUUACCACGGCAACGAUGCAUAGCCGACCUGAGAGAGGAAUCGCCCACCUUGGACCUGAGCCACGGUCCGAACCCCACGGGAGGCAGCAGUAGGGAAUCUUGCGCAAAGGGCGAAAGCCUGACGCAGCAACGCCGCGUGAGUGAUGAAGGUCUUCGGAUCGUAAAACUCUGUUAUUAGGGAAGAACAUAUGUGUAAGUAACUGUGCCCAUCUUGACGGUACCUAAUCAGAAAGCCACGGCUAACUACGUG